rnacentral:misc_RNA from 1 species
GAUGAAGAACGCAGUGAAAUGCGAUACGUAAUGUGAAUUGCAGAAUUCAGUGAAUCAUCGAGUCUUUGAACGCACAUUGCGCCCCCUGGUAUUCCGGGGGCAUGCCUGUCCGAGCGUCAUUGCUGCCCUCAAGCACGGCUUGUGUGUUGGGCCUCCGUCCUCCUCCCGGGGGACGGGCCCGAAAGGCAGCGGCGGCACCGCGUCCGGUCCUCGAGCGUAUGGGGCUUCGUCACCCGCUCUUGUAGGCCCGGCCGGCGCUUGCCGACACAUCAAUCUUUUUUCCAGGUUGACCUCGGAUCAGGUAGGGAUACCCGCUGAACUUAAGCAUAUCAAUAAGCGGAGGA